ensembl:snRNA U6 U6 spliceosomal RNA
GUGCUUGCUUGGGCAGCACAUAUACUAAAAUUAGAAAGAUACAGAGAAGAUUAGUAUGGCCCCUGCACAAGGAUGACAUGCAAAUUCAUGAAGUGUUCCAUAUUUUA